rnacentral:rRNA from 1 species
AUUAACUGAAUCCAUAGGUUAAUGAGGCGAACCGGGGGAACUGAAACAUCUAAGUACCCCGAGGAAAAGAAAUCAACCGAGAUUCCCCCAGUAGCGGCGAGCGAACGGGGAGGAGCCCAGAGCCUGAAUCAGCAUGUGUGUUAGUGGAAGCGUCUGGAAAGGCGCGCGAUACAGGGUGACAGCCCCGUACACAAAAGCGCAUGUGCUGUGAGCUCGAUGAGUAGGGCGGGACACGUGGUAUCCUGUCUGAAUAUGGGGGGACCAUCCUCCAAGGCUAAAUACUCCUGACUGACCGAUAGUGAACCAGUACCGUGAGGGAAAGGCGAAAAGAACCCCGGCGAGGGGAGUGAAAAAGAACCUGAAACCGUGUACGUACAAGC